UGGAUGAUGUGGAUUAAUUCGAUGCAACGCGAAGAACCUUACCUACCCUUGACAUGUCCGGAACUUGCCAGAGAUGGCUUGGUGCCCGAAAGGGAAUCGGAACACAGGUGCUGCAUGGCUGUCGUCAGCUCGUGUCGUGAGAUGUUGGGUUAAGUCCCGCAACGAGCGCAACCCUCAUCAUUAGUUGCUACGCAAGGGCACUCUAACGAGACUGCCGGUGACAAACCGGAGGAAGGUGGGGAUGACGUCAAGUCCUCAUGGCCCUUAUGGGUAGGGCUUCACACGUCAUACAAUGGUCGGUACAGAGGGUUGCCAACCCGCGAGGGGGAGCUAAUCCCACAAAGCCGAUCGUAGUCCGGAUCGCAGUCUGCAACUCGACUGCGUGAAGUCGGAAUCGCUAGUAAUCGUGGAUCAGCAUGUCACGGUGAAUACGUUCCCGGGUCUU
rnacentral:rRNA from 1 species